rnacentral:rRNA from 1 species
UACGGAGGGUGCAAGCGUUAUCCGGAUUCACUGGGUUUAAAGGGUGCGUAGGCGGGUUGGUAAGUCAGUGGUGAAAUCUUCAAGCUUAACUUGGGAACUGCCGUUGAUACUAUCUGUCUUGAAUACCGUGGAGGUGAGCGGAAUAUGUCAUGUAGCGGAUGAAAUGCUUAGAUAUGACAUAGAACACCAAUUGCGAAGGCAGCUCGCUACACGAAUA